AAUUUGAGGGCCGUUGAGAAAUGAAACUGAAAGACUCCACCUGUUUGAACGAGGAAGAGGACUAAACGUCAGUCCUUCCUUUUUUGCUUCUCAAAAAGGUUCAAAACCUACCAAACCAUAUUUCCAAAUUUCUCCAAAUCCAACGGUCCCAAAACCCUAAUCCCCCAAAUGGAAUUCACACAUUGGUCCGGGCAAUCACACAGUAGAGUACCACUCCGAAUCCCCUUCGUUGUCAGUGUCAUAUAUAUGUAUAUAUAUCUCUCUCUGCCUUCACUUUCACUGUCUCUUUCACUAUCGCUUUCGCUUUCGCUUUCACUUUCGUUUUCGUUCUCUCUGUGGCAUUGUAGAUGAGCUUCCUUUGUGCAAUGGCUGCUCCUGCUUCUCCUCCGUCUGCGUCCUCGUCUUCUUCGCCAUUACUCUGCUUCCAUUGCAGGCAGGAGACCUCCGAGUUCAAGAAAGGCUGGAAGCUUCGCGCUGGUGGCUACGCUGGCCUAUGCAUUCGUUGCGGUUCUGCUUAUGAGGAGGGAAAAUUCUGUGACAUUUUUCAUUUAGAUGCUGAUGGAUGGAGGGAUUGUGCUACUUGUGGAAAGAUGGUUCACUGUGGAUGUAUCAUGUCGUUCCAUGUCUAUACGGUGUUGGAUCUUGGUGGAGUUUGCUGCAUAAAAUGCUUUAAGAAUUCCAAUGUGGCCCCAAAUCAAGACCCAACUCAGGCCUCAAGUCAAGAACCAUCUCAGGCCCCAAAUCAAGAGCCAUCCUUUAAUGCUACUCCUGAGAUUUUGCAGAAGCAGAAAUUGGGGGAUCCCUCUGACAAAGUCGUGACUGGAAUUGACUGUGGGGAAGAUCCAACUGCAUCACUUGGUUCUCCAGUGUGUCAUGAAUUACCUCAGGAGACAAAUGUUAAACCGCUUGUACGUAUCUCUCCAUCACAAAAACAAGAUUCUCCAGCUCACUUUACAGAACAGUUCAGCACAGAUUCAUCAAAUGAAGGAGAUACAUCUUGUGAAACUCUAAUAGACAGUGAAACAUCUGAAGGGGAUUCCUCUGGAAAAACCUGUUCAUAUUCUCAAAACUUGUCUGAAGAAAGUGAUGAUGAGGUUCAGGAAAUCUUCAGACCCUUAAACUCCGCUGUCGUUCCUUUAUUUGAGAAAUUUUUGACUCCUAGUGAUGCUGAUCCCAAAAUGGCUCGCCUGGUGAUACCAAAGAAAAGUGCAGAGGCUUAUUUUCCAAAGGUUACAGAGGCACAUGGAUUCCCCAUUGUAUUCCAAGAUACACAGAGAAAGGAAUGGGAAUUUAACCUUCGUUUUUGGGUAAAUUGUAACAGCAAGAUGUACGUUCUAGAAGGGCUUAAAGAAUACAUGACCUUAAUGCAGUGGCAAGCAGGUGACAAAGUAACAUUUCAUCGGAUAGAACCAGAAGGAAAGUUUCUCAUUGCAACGAAAAAGACUGUUAAACCGCCUCUGAAGGAACAACCAUCAACAACUGGAUAGAGUUUUGAGUCUCAGAACACACUGGAUUUCAAGCCAAUAUUCCAAAGCAAGAUAUUAUCAUCCAAGACUGGUGUGAACUUUGUGCUUUCUUUGGAUGCUCUUGAAGCUAUUUGUGCAGAUUCUGUACUCAGUCAACCAAGAGUGUCACUAAAUUAGCUGCUGUUGUCUUGAAGGCUUUGCCAGGAAACUGAGAAUUUCAAGACUUGCCCUAAUAGUUGACAGUUAAAUGGUUUGGUAUUCCUGCUCUUUGAGUUACUUAUUAAAGAAAAAAAAAAUCCUGCUGUUUGAGUUACAUUGGUGCAAAAGCCAUAUCCCUUGUGCUCCUUCUGGUUGGUCAACUCCAUCAUAAAGAAAAGGCUAAGUAAAGAAAAAGUCAAGGCUCUGGUUUAGUUAAAACUUAAAAAGUAUUAUUUGGUUUCAAAAUUUCUUUUCAUGAAUAUGUACCAACAAAGACAUUUCCUCUUGAUAGGCUCUAACCCUCCCAGCUUCCCCCACACCACCCCCCCCCCC